CGGCCUUCAAGUCUGCUGUUAAAACGUGGAGCUUAACUCCAUCAUGGCAGUGGAAACUGUUGGGCUUGAGUGUGGUAGGGGCAGAGGGAAUUCCCGGUGUAGCGGUGAAAUGCGUAGAUAUCGGGAAGAACACCAGUGGCGAAGGCGCUCUGCUGGGCCAUCACUGACGCUCAUGGACGAAAGCCAGGGGAGCGAAAGGGAUUAGAUACCCCUGUAGUCCUGGCCGUAAACGAUGAACACUAGGUGUCGGGGGAAUCGACCCCCUCGGUGUCGUAGCCAACGCGUUAAGUGUUCCGCCUGGGGAGUACGCACGCAAGUGUGAAACUCAAAGGAAUUGACGGGGGCCCGCACAAGCGGUGGAGUAUGUGGUUUAAUUCGAUGCAACGCGAAGAACCUUACCAGGGUUUGACAUCCUGCGAACCUCUUGGAAACGAGAGGGUGCCUUCGGGAACGCAGUGACAGGUGGUGCAUGGCUGUCGUCAGCUCGUGUCGUGAGAUGUUGGGUUAAGUCCCGCAACGAGCGCAACCCACGUCUUUAGUUGCCAGCAUUUAGUUGGGCACUCUAGAGAGACCGCCGGUGAUAAACCGGAGGAAGGUGUGGAUGACGUCAAGUCAUCAUGCCCCUUACAUCCUGGGCUACACACGUACUACAAUGCUACGGACAGAGGGCAGCAAGUUCGCGAGGACAAGCAAAUCCCAUAAACCGUGGCUCAGUUCAGAUCGUAGGCUGCAACUCGCCUACGUGAAGGAGGAAUCGCUAGUAAUCGCAGGUCAGCAUACUGCGGUGAAUACGUUCCCGGGCCUUGUACACACCGCCCGUCACACCAUGGAAGUUGGCCACGCCCGAAGCCGUUACUCCAACCCUCGGGAGGAGGACGUCGAAGGUGGGGCUGAUGACUGGGGUGAAGUCGUAACAAGGUAGCCGUA
rnacentral:rRNA from 1 species